rnacentral:rRNA from 1 species
UACGAAGGGGGCUAGCGUUGCUCGGAAUCACUGGGCGUAAAGCGCACGUAGGCGGAUUGCUAAGUCAGGGGUGAAAAUCCUGGAGCUCAACUCCAGAACUGCCUUUGAUACUGGCGAUCUCGAGUCGGGAGAGGUGAGUGGAACUGCGAGUGUAGAGGUGAAAUUCGUAGAUAUUCGCAAGAACACCAGUGGCGAAGGCGGCUCACUGGCCCCGGUACUGA